CACACCUACUGUAGCCCCAACACAUACAGUAGCCCCCAUAGCUACAGUAGCCCCCAUACCUACAGUAGCAACAACAAGCUUUUCACAGGUAUUCACAUGGCAGUCGCUUUCUGCACAAGAUGAAAUUUCAGGCAUUGAAACUCAAGGUAUGUCAAACCCAUCCACGUCAUUCGAGUUACUGUAUUAAGCUACAUGGCCAUUCGACGUGAUCACAGUACAGACAUUAAUGGAUGGAUUAAAACUACCAGACUAUACAAAGGUUUACAGUACAGACAGUAAUGGAUGGAUUAAAACUAUCAGACUAUACAAAGGUUUACAGUACAGACAGUGAUGGAUGGAUUAAAACGACCAGACUAUGCAAAGGUUUACAGUACAGACAGUGAUGGAUGGAUUAAAACUACCAGACUAUACAAAGGUUUACAGUACAGACAAGCUAAAAACUGUCUAUUCAUAGUCAGCCACUGAAUGUAUCCUACAAUGCUGUGGUGAUGUGAAGUAUGAAUUACUUAAUAUGCUUGAACAUUCUAUACUAUGUUCUGUCAUAUAUGUGAAGUUUCAAGAUUGUUACAUCGUUUUUAAAAAAAAUGUUUGAAUUUACGUGAAUUUUAGUAAAAGAUCAUUUCUACGACUA